ACGAACGCUGGCGGCAUGCCUAACACAUGCAAGUCGCACGAGACCUUCGGGUCUAGUGGCGCACGGGUGCGUAACGCGUGGGAACCUGCCCUUAGGUUCGGAAUAACUCCCCGAAAGGGGUGCUAAUACCGGAUAAUGUCUUCGGACCAAAGAUUUAUCGCCUUUGGAUGGGCCCGCGUUGGAUUAGCUAGUUGGUAGGGUAAAAGCCUACCAAGGCGACGAUCCAUAGCUGGUCUGAGAGGAUGAUCAGCCACACUGGGACUGAGACACGGCCCAGACUCCUACGGGAGGCAGCGGUGGGGAAUAUUGGACAAUGGGCGAAAGCCUGAUCCAGCAAUGCCGCGUGAGUGAUGAAGGCCUUAGGGUUGUAAAGCUCUUUUACCCGGGAUGAUAAUGACAGUACCGGGAGAAUAAGCUCCGGCUAACUCCGUG
rnacentral:rRNA from 1 species